rfam:Blastomyces dermatitidis ER-3 genomic scaffold supercont1.12, whole genome shotgun sequence.
GGGAAGAUGGCCGAGUGGUUAUGGCGCUACGUUCAGGUCUUGGCAUUGCCGAGAUUCGUAGUAGGGCAACCUGCGUGGGUUCGAGUCCCACUCUUCUCA